AAUAUUCCUCAAGCAGGACCCUUGUGAGUUUCCCUUUGUCCCAUUCAUUCAUUUAACAAAUAGUUGUCAAGUGCCGGGCACUGUUUUGGAUGCAGAGGAUUAGCAGUGAACAUGAGAGACAAAAAUACUUGCCCUCCUGUAGCUUCCAUAAUCCUGCUGGAACCCAUUUUUACGUAUAAACUAAGGUUCAAGGUCAGUUGAUUCCCCAGAGUCAGACACAUGGAGCCCAAGGACAAAAUGCAGUCCAGGAAAAGUUGCUCACAGGCCCCUUGCAGGGUUGCAGGGGCCCAGACAGCACCCUGGGUUUUGUGGUGAAACUGGGUGCCUAGAGCCUGGAGAACCAGGUAUGGGUGUCAUACUAUAAGAACAGCCCUUGGAAACAAGUGUUUGCGUUUUAAGUUCCAGGCCAGCUACUUACUUGGACAAGUUACUUAAUUCUCUUUAAGUCUCUUUAUUUUCCUCUGUCAAAUGGGGAUAAAAAUUAAACUUACCUUAUUGACUGUGAACCACACAGCGAGAGAUCAUAUAGUGUCUAGCACAUAAUAAUUUCUAUACUAUUAGUUAUUGUUUAUUUAUUUAUUCAUUCAUUUACUUUUGUUAUUAUUACUGGGGGAGGGGGGAAAUGGAGUGCUAAGCAGUAGACCCUCAUAAUUUGUCAACGCAGCAUCCUUCUUUCUCUUCUGGGAACUGACUUUCUCACAGUCACCUUUCCCCCGUUCCAAACCUUCUGACCAACCAGCUCUCUCCAUGAGGUUCUCAUGGAAGCUACCACAUUUGUACAAUAGGACUCCCUCCCCCAAACAUUGAACCAAGCUGGACUGAUCAGAAUUCCUCCCCGGGAACUUUGCAACUUUAACAGGAAAAAAAGGUAUCAGUCUCUCUCCAGGGAGCGGACGCUAUUGCUUCCAGCAGCCAUGUUUUCAGCCAUAUGAACUGAGAAGCAGAGAUGACCAGUGUGCAAUAGUAAGAACACAGAAUGAAACUGAUGUGCAGAGAGAAGCAGGAAUGAAAUAUGGGGAGCUGGGCCAGCAUUUGAGAGUCUGGCUCUACUUUAUUCCUGAGGACCAAAUGAGGUCUUGACUUUGAGUUCCAGGAGACAAUUCUCUAAGUAAAUUCCUUAUUUUUCUCAAGCUGCUUGGAUUUGGGGCUCUAUUCUUAGGGCAAUUAAUAAGAGUCCUAAUUAAAUGCAGAUCUAAUCCAACAGACUUGGCCUUGAUAUAUGGGUCACACCAGCCUCUAAAGACUCCUCUCUUAGGAAAAUCCAAUUUCCCCUUAAUAUCAGAAUCAAAUAGCCCGGCCAGUUUAGUAACCCCCUUCUUUUCCCGCGGAUGCAUUGUAUGAGGAGCCCAAAGUGGCCAGGUCGUAGUCUUUACUUCCGUCUUGAUGGUAUGAUUGAGGUGUUCCCUGAAGGAAACCUUCCUCCCUUGGGAAAUCAGACUUCUAGACCAAUAGCAUCUAAAAUGAUGGAGAGAGAAAGCAGAAAUUUUACUAGUGGGCCACUAGUGAAGAUAGUAAGAGGAACCAUUCCCAUUUCCACAACUUGAUUCCUGGAACCAUAGAAAUUAGCUCUAGGAGAAAUAGCAACAUAACACUAAUUUAGAGCAUACGCUACAUUCUGUAGGACAUUGCCCCAGCUCUACAAAGUAUUUCCACCCAGCUGACAUUGCAACUAAGUCUUCUAAAGGUCACACCACCAUUUUAUCAGGGCAGCUGCUUCAAAGUGAUGGGCAACAUGGCAGGACCAGUGAAUUCCAUGAGCAUUAGCCCAAUGUCACACACAACUCAUUUGCAGUGAGUUCCCUGGUCGGAAGCAAUGCAUUGUGAAAUACAAUGUGAAUGACACAUUCUAUAAAUCCCUGGAUGGUGGUUUUGGUAGAAGCACUGUGAACAGGGAAGACAAAUCUAUAACCAGAGUCUUAAGUGUCUAUUCCACUGAGAACAAAGUUCUGUCCCUUGAAUGAUGGAACUGAUCUUUUGUAAUCAACUUUCUACCAAGUGUGGCUGAUGCACUCAGGAAAUGGUGCCCUAGCAAAUGCUCUGUAUUGGUCUCUGCUAUUGGCAGGUUGAAGAUUCAGCAGAGGCGAUUGGAAAUCCAUGUUGUUCAACCCAUGAAGAACCUCCAUGGACCACUCUGUUUGGUUUCCAGGGAACUAAGACAGAAGUGGCUGAGGAAAGAUGCUAACAGACAUACACAGGCUUGUCACAGAUGUCCACAGACACGUCAUUUCAUUUACUUGCUCAUUAAGAUCUUCUUCUGAUGAGAUUUCUGUUUGAUGAACAUUCACAUGAGACAGAAUGUCUUAACGCUAUGUUCACAUUCAGAGAGUUCUAUCCCCAGUCUUCUUUCUUGGACCUUGUCACCAAUUUUCCAGUCAUGAUCUUUCUACGUUUUGACCAUCCAACCAAACCAUUAGCCAUUGCCCCUGAGUCAAUACAGAACCAUACUUCUGCACACUGGGAGACUAUUCCUUCACUCCUACCUUUUGAAUCCAUCCAUGAUGGCAGGCCUACAAUGUUAUAACCAUCCACUUGCAGGUAGCGCUAGCAUAUCAUACAGAUCCAUCUUUAAACCAGGCUUAGAAUUUUUCCUCCUCAGCCAAUUUGUCAUAGGGAACUUCCCAAGAGGUCACAGAUUCAGGUUGAGAGGGAAGAGGCAAUGUGAUAGGAACAUGGGCCAUAGGUAUUUGUACCAACUCUUACACAAAUUAUUUGUGCCUUUAGAACUUGUUUGAGCAUGGUCUCAUAUACCCCCACCUACUUAAUGAUGGAAUACUGCUGUGAAUGCCCCAUUAUGAGCCCUGGAGGGUCAGACAAUCUUCGGUUCAUGCUGGGCAACUUAGGUUACAUGGUAACUUGGUGACUUAUGAUCAAGCCUUCAAUCUCUACUGAAGCCCAUUUACAACCUAGAAACUGUUUCUCCAGAGAAUAGUUAUCUUCAGAAGACGGUAAAGCUUUGCUCCAAAAUCUUAAUAGUCUGGGUUGUGAUUCACCUAUGGAAGACAUUUAAAAUCUCCAUACAGUGUCCUUAUCUGCCACAGGCACUUCCAACACCAUUGGCUGCUGUGUUAUACAGCCCAGGUGGUAGAGGGGCUUGCACAGCAGUCUGGAUCUGAGUAGUCUUUUAUUUAGGGUCUCACUCAAAAUGGGCAGAUUUUUAAGUUUCUCAGUAAAAAAGUGAGAGUUGCAUGUCCCAAUGAGUUAGUUGCAUGUUGCCUCCAAAAACUAGAGAGUAUUGUACCUCUUUCUUAGUGGUGGGAGGGGCCAAAUGCAACAACUUUUCCUUUACUUUGUUUUUUUGUUUUUUUUGGGAUUUUUUUGUCUUUUUGCCUUUUCUAGGGCCGCUUCCUGUGGCAUAUAGAGGUUCCCAGGCUAGGGGUCGAGUUGGAGCUGUAGCCACUGGUCUACGCCAGAGCCACAGCAAUGCGGGAUCCAAGCCACGUCUGCGACCUACACCACAGCUCACGGCAACACCGGAUCCUUAACCCACUGAGCAAGACCAGGGAUCGAACCCACAACCUCACGGUUCCUAGUCGGAUUUGUUAACCACUGAGUCAUGACAGGAACUCCUUCCUUUACUUUGAAAAAGAUAACUCACGCUGCCCCAGACCACUAGACCUCUAGAAAUUUUACCAGGAUGGCAAGACCCCAAAUUUUUGUGGGGUUUAUUUCCCACUCUGUCUACGCAUCUGUGAUCUAGAGUAGCUGCUACUUCCUGCUUACCAGCAAGCACAAUAGCAUCAGCAUGACAUCAUCCAUAUGUUGAACCAGGGUGAUUCAGAAUGGAAAGGCAAUCAAGGUUCCUUGGAGCAAGAUUAUGACAUAGGGCUAGAGAGUGGGUACAUUCCUGAGGUAAGAUAGUGAAGGUAUAUUGUUGGCUCUGCCAACCGAAAGCAAACAGCUUCUGAUGGUCUUUAUCAACAAGUAGAGAGAAAGAAGCAUUCAGAUCAACAGCUGCAUACCAGAAGUGUUAAAGGUGUCAGCAAUGAAACUUCGUCUAGAACCAUCACCUGAUUAGACUUACGAUAAUUCACUGUCAUUCUUCAAGAUGCACUUGUCAUAAAGUUGGUAUUAUUAUACACAUUUACAGAUGAAAAGAUAAAACCACAAUGAUGUUCAUACUCUAUCAAUAGGAAGAGCCUAGUUUGAAUCCAGCAAAUGUUAGGCUUUAUCAUUAUUCUAUCACAGACUUUAUACCAUGAUUGCUCUCAUUUGGGUCAGGUGCUUACCUUUGAUCUAAGUCCUAUCAAGACCUACCAAACCCUCCAGAGACUACAACAGAAUUAGCUAUCAGAGAAGAAAUGCCAUUCCCAGAAGACUUAGAGGUCAUGCCCGAUAGAGGUACCGAUUACACAACAGGUACUGGUACACAAACCUUGUCUUUAUCAAGGUUUAUCUGCAUCUCCCCUGUAGUAGGUGUUAUAGAUAAGAGAACAGAUCGUUACAAGAUAGUAUAAUGUACAAUGAUAAGAACGGUUUUAUAGAACAAGUAGGAGAUGCCCUUAACACAACUGUAGGAGUCAAGGGAAGUUUUCUGAGAGGACAUGAUACCUAAAGUGAGAAGAAUCAGAAGGAGUUAGGCAGACAAAGUCAGGCUGGGGCAAAGAGAAGAAAUUAGCAGAGGGAGCAGCAAGUGCCAAAACCCUGAGAUGACAAAGGGCACGGUGGAUUUAUUUGUAAGCCUGGACCUUAGAACAUAAAGAAAGAAAGGGUAGGUGAUGAGGCUGGAAGGCUAAGCACAGGCCAGAUCACGAAGGAACUUACAGGCUUUGUUAAAAGUUUUGUAUUUUAUCCGGAGGAUGAUAGGGUAUCAUUGGAGGGUUGUAAGCAGAGGGAGGGCAUGACACUUUUACAUGUUAGAAAUAUAAUUAAAGCUACAGAGUGAAGACAGGAGAAUGGGAGGCUACUGCAGUAGGUGAGAGAGAAGAAUGCAGCCUGAACUAGGGCGUAGCAAAGAGGUGGGAGGGAAGUGGAUGGGUUGGAGACACAGCUGAUAGACAGGGAUGUAAGGAGUUCCCAUCAUGGUGAUGGCACAGUGGAAACGAACCUGACUAGGAAUCAUAAGGUUGUAGGUUCCAUCCCCAGCCUUGCUUAGUCGGUUAAGGAUCCGGCAUUGCCAUGAGCUGUGAAGUAGGUUGAAGACACGGCUUGGAUCCCACAUUGCUGUGGCUGUGGUGUAGACUGGCAGCUGUAGCCUUGAUUAGACCCCUAGCCUGGGAAUCUCCAUAUGCCAUGGAUGCAGCCCUAAAAAAAAAAAA
rnacentral:lncRNA from 1 species